GGAUGUGAGGGCGAUCUGGCUGCGACAUCUGUCACCCCAUGGAUCGCCAGGGUUGAUUCGGCUGAUCUGGCUGGCUGGGCAGGUGUCCCCUUCCUCCCUCACUGCUCCAUGUGCGUCCCUCCCGAAGCUGCGUGCUCGGUUGAAGAGGACGACCUUCCCCGAUAGAGGAGGACCAUUCUUCAGUCAAGGGUAUACAAGUAGCUGCGCUCCCCUGCUAGAACCUCCAGACAAACUCUCAAGGUCCAUUUGUAGGAGAACAUCAGGUAGUCAAGCUUCCAAGACUCCAGACACAUCCAAAUGAGGCGCUGCAUGUGGCAGUCUGCCUUUCAAA
rnacentral:snRNA from 1 species